rnacentral:lncRNA from 1 species
CAAACUUCCCUAAAAUCAUGGCUAACCAUUUCUUCUCUUCCCUCAAAAAAUCAAUGUGCAGAAUCUCUGGAGCUCAUCCCUUCAGAGGGCCCUUCCCAGAAGAACUGUAUCUCCACUUCCUCGGUUCUCUGGAAUAAAUUACAACCUUAUGACUCAUGAGUCCAAACAGGACAGUCUUUACGUCUACCCAUCUUAUGACUGAUGUGGCUCUCAAGGAACAAUAAAACCUAAGCAAAUUAUGGGAACAAGCAUUUAUCAACCACGCAAAUGAAGCCAUUCUUUGUAUGUAUUAUGCAUCUCAAUCUCCAUAUAUGGUUAUCAACGUAAUAAUUCAAGUAAAGAGUUUUUCUACACCAGGAGUUCCAAAAUCAAGCUACAUUCAAAGAGAGAAACAACACAUUGGAUACUCAAGUUAUGAACCGUGAGAAGAGUCAGAAAUUCCUUAUAGGAUAGAAC